CCUACGGGAGGCUGCAGUGGGGAAUAUUGGACAAUGGGCGCAAGCCUGAUCCAGCCAUGCCGCGUGGGUGAAGAAGGCCUUCGGGUUGUAAAGCCCUUUUUGGAGAGUCGCGGUACCCAAAGAAUAAGCACCGGCUAACUUCGUGCCAGCAGCCGCGGUAAUACGAAGGGUGCAAGCGUUACUCGGAAUUACUGGGCGUAAAGCGUGCGUAGGCGGUUUGUUAAGUCCGCUGUGAAAGCCCUGGGCUCAACCUGGGAAUUGCAGUGGAUACUGGCAAGCUAGAGUGCGGUAGAGGAUGGUGGAAUUCCCGGUGUAGCGGUGAAAUGCGUAGAGAUCGGGAGGAACACCCGUGGCGAAGGCGGCCAUCUGGACCAGACUGACGCUGAGGCACGAAAGCGUGGGGAGCAAACAGGAUUAGAUACCCUUGUAGUC
rnacentral:rRNA from 1 species